UACGUAGGUGGCGAGCGUUGUCCGGAAUUACUGGGUGUAAAGGGCGUGUAGGCGGGACUGUAAGUCAGAUGUGAAAUUCCAGGGCUCAACCCUGGCGCUGCAUCUGAAACUACAGUUCUUGAGUGCUGGAGAGGAAAGCGGAAUUCCUAGUGUAGCGGUGAAAUGCGUAGAUAUUAGGAGGAACACCAGUGGCGAAGGCGGCUUUCUGGACAGUAACUGACGCUGAGGCGCGAAAGCGUGGGGAGCAAACAGG
rnacentral:rRNA from 1 species